AUUGAACGCUGGCGGCAUGCUUUACACAUGCAAGUCGAACGGCAGCGCGGGCUUCGGCCUGGCGGCGAGUGGCGAACGGGUGAGUAAUACAUCGGAACGUGCCCAGUAGUGGGGGAUAGCUCGGCGAAAGCCGGAUUAAUACCGCAUACGACCUGAGGGUGAAAGCGGGGGAUCUUCGGACCUCGCGCUAUUGGAGCGGCCGAUGGCAGAUUAGCUAGUUGGUGGGGUAAAGGCCUACCAAGGCGACGAUCUGUAGCUGGUCCGAGAGGACGACCAGCCACACUGAGACUGAGACGCGGCCCAGACUCCUACGGGAGGCAGCAGUGGGGAAUUUUGGCCAAUGGGCGAAAUCCUGAUCCAGCAAUGCCGCGUGUGUGAUGAAGGCCUUCGGGUUGUAGAGCACUUUUGGCGGGAACGACAAGGACUGUGCCAAUACCACGGUUCGAUGACGGUACCCGCAGAAUAAGCACCGGCUAACUACGUG
rnacentral:rRNA from 1 species